rnacentral:rRNA from 1 species
UUGAAACCCAGGGAUUAGAUACCCUGUUACUCUUUAUUUUAAAUAUAAAUACCUGGGUAUUAAACAGUUAUUGUCUCGAAACUCAAAGGAUUUGGCGGUAACUUAGUCUGUUUAGAGGAACCUGUCCUGUAAUCGAUAAACCACGCAGAAUCUUACCUUACUUUGUAGGUCCCAGUUUGUAUACCGUCAUUAUUAGGUAACUUUAAUAAAAAUCAGUUACUACAAUAAGUUAUUUUUAGUAUAUUAGAUCAAGGUGCAGCUGAUAGUAAGGUAGAGAUGGGUUACAAUAUAACAAGUAUAUAAUGAAUUAAGGAAUUAUAAUUCCUUAUGAAGGUGGAUUUAAAAGUAGAAAAGUUUUAAUAAGACUUCUCGAUUCUAGCUCUAGGUUAUGUACAUACGCCCCCGUCCGCUAA